GAUGUGCGCACGGGAAAAUUCGAGGAAAGGUCUGCAGUCGAGCAGCACGGAGCCAGCAGUGGAGAUCUGGUCCCGGGGCGUCCUGAGGAUGUGGAGCAGCUCGGUGCUGCUGAUAUUCAAAGCCAUGCUUAAGUUGUUGUCUGUCAUCCGCGUCUGAGCAGCACAACAGGAAGCCACAUUACGUCUAUUUCCUCUCAUCAUCCCUACCAUGCCGCCACCCUCCUCCCAUGGGUUACAUCAUUACCUUCAGCCUUAGUCACGCUCCCUACGGUUCAUUAAGCAAACCUGGCCACCUUGGCGUUUAACCUUUCAAAAGAGAAAUUCCAUGGAAAAGUUGAGCCAGAAUCAAUAAUCCAGAGGAUUAAUUGAGUGGCUGCCGUUAUUAAGCUCUGAAAACACGUAAUCUGGCGGAUGUACAGUAGUUCAUCCCAUCAUGGACGGCCACGUGACGACCACGGGCUUCACAGUCGGACCAAACACAUCUGUGCUGACGGAUCAAAGCUACUAAAUUACAGGAAGCCCCCCACAUCCCCUCACCCCCCCUUGUGGUUCAUGAUGCUUUUUUAUUUGUCUGAGGCAAAUUUAGGCUUUGGUUAAUAUUUCAAAGACAGUAACUGGAGAAAAAAACAGUCACGAUUAAUGAGGACAGACAGUGACAAGCACUUAAACAGCAAGAAAACAAAUUUAUAAUAUCAAUAUUGUUAUGGAUGAUUUAGGUGGAAAUAAUGAUAAAAAAAAAACAAUUUUUGUUCUCCUUCCAGUACCUCGGUGAUGACUAAAGACUAACUUCUAGGGACAGGAGCAAGAACAGGUAUUAAACAUUAACAUCACUGUGUCAUGAGUUGGUUUUAGGAACCAGUAGAGCCGCUGUGGUGUCAGGCCAUAGUGUUAACGUAUCUUGUGACCAGGUUUCAAAACCCACAGUAUCCCUUUCCUAAAGUGGUCAUGGGUACCCCUAUGGGGGGCACGAAGCAAUUGCGGGGACAGGGACAGCAUAACAGUUGUUUUGUCUUUGUUCAAUGAAAAUGUAAAUUAAAAAAACAAACAGAAAACGGUGUCCUUUCUACCAAAUG